CAAGUACUCACAGCUUUGGCAUCUCUAGGGUAAGUACCCAGGAACAUCUGUAAGCAUUUUGAUUCCCCAACGGUGUUUUAGGUAAAAGAUGUUUUCAACCAUAGAAAGAAAAUGUUUAAAAUCUCCCCAAUGUCAUAUAUGGGGGAUAAUAGCCUCGUUUUGUUGUUCUUGUCACCACAGUAUCCUGGAGAUGGCAGCAAAGUACAUAGAAGCAGGGAAGCAAAGCAUAACACAUAAACAAGCUGAGAGAUUAAUGAUGCAGUCCAAGUUUGAUGAUGACAAUCCUGAAAUGCAUCAGCCUCUCUUACUUUUCCAGCAACACUGUAGGUCCAGCUCUCUGUCUUCUGUGUCAUCGGAUGUGGGCAGGAGGGUCUUGAGAGCAAAGAUGUAUUGCAAUAAAAUGCAUGCUGUAGUCAGGAAACAAUGAAUAAUGCUCUACAGACAUAGAAGCAUGGAGCAGAAAUGGAAGAGAGAGCUAUUUAACUCAGUGAAGGAAGAAUUAAUCAACAGUCAUUAUCAUCAUCACCAUCAUUUUAGCUAAUAGUUAUAUGGCACUUUAAGGUUUGCAAAAUGUGCAUUGUCUUAUUUUAUUCUCACAACAAUCCUGGGAAGGAAGAGCUACUAUUAUCCCCAUUUUAUAGAUGAGGAAUGUUGGACAGACAGAUUAAAUGGUUUAAGAAUUAUGUAACUAGUGAAUGUCAGAGGCUGGAUUUGAACUUGGGUAUUUCCAAUGCCAGGUCCAGUCCUCCAUUCACUGCUCUGUUGGUUAUGGGUGGACUCAAGACAUAGUAAAGUCAUUAUAAACUGGAUGACUUCUUUGGGAAUCUUGUAGAGGGUUUCUUGCUCAAUUAUAAUUUCCCUCAAUGGCCUUUGAAGUUCAUUUCAAUUCUGAUCUCCCGGGAAUGGACUUAUUGCAACUUAUUUAGAGCUACCCUGGAAAUGAAAACUUGGGGUAAAAGUAAAAGCUUUCUAAAGGAAGGCUAGCGAUAAUCACAGAAAAGCAAGUCAAUUUGAAUUCUACAACUCUUAUAUGUUCAAUUUAUCACACAUUUUAAAAGAAAAUCUAGCUUUCCAAUAGAAAUUUAAAGUUUCAUAUACAGUCAAUCCCCUCUCUGUUCUAUGCAACUGGAAUUUUUCAUUUUAUUUGAUAUUAGUUAAGUUCAGAAUAAAAACUUUUAAAAA
rnacentral:lncRNA from 1 species